rnacentral:SRP_RNA from 1 species
GCCGGGCGUGGUGGCGGACGCCUGUAGUCCCAGCUACUCGGGAGGCUGAGACAGGAGAAUGGCAUGAACCCGGGAGGCGGAGUUUGCAGUGAGCUGAGAUUGCGCCACUGCACUCCAGCCUGGGUGACAGAGCCAGACUCUGUCUCAA